GUCGGGAUAGCUCAGUGGUAGAG
rnacentral:tRNA from 3 species